rnacentral:lncRNA from 1 species
GCAUAUCAAGACUUAAAUCAAAACCAUAGAUCAACAUCAUAUCCUCACUAUCAAUUUAAUAUCAUGAACUAUAGAUCAACAUCAUAUCCUCACUAUCAAUUUAAUAUCAUGGUGUGCUCAAUAUGAAACGUCACAAGUUAAGCCUACUAAGCCUACUUCAAUACCAGAGGAGUUUGUGGGCCAAUGAAACAGGUCAUCGUAACAAACACCACCUAACCAAGUUGUCGAAAAUACUUACCUUGGGAAGGGAAGAGUUACUCCAGAUAUUUGUAUGUUAAACCAUGGAGUAAAACGUUACACAAACUCACAAAAACUUCAGCACUGGAAGAAUAUGAUAACCUCACCAUAAGCUUUCACAAAGGAAUCAAGUGUGGAUGCUGAAACAACUAUAAUGAAAUGUGAAGAAUUCAAAUAUGAGUACAGAUCACCAAAUUAAAGCUUAGAAAAAAUAUGUAACACAGCCAACUGAACAUUAAGACGGUCAUUAAAAGGUUCAGUUUUUGUUUCAAAAAAAAAAAGGUUCAGUGUUUGAAAAAGUAGGAAACUUUUGUGGUAUACCAAACC